rnacentral:rRNA from 1 species
UACAGAGGUCUCGAGCGUUGUUCGGAUUCAUUGGGCGUAAAGGGUGCGUAGGUGGCGCUGUAAGUCGGGUGUGAAAUCCUGAGGCUUAACCUCGGAACUGCAUUCGAUACUGCGGCGCUUGAGGACUGGAGAGGAGACUGGAAUUCAUGGUGUAGCAGUGAAAUGCGUAGAGAUCAUGAGGAAGACCAGUGGCGAAGGCGGGUCUCUGGACAGUUCCUGACGCUGAGGCACGAAGGCCAGGGGAGCAAACGGG